UAGGUGGGAAAAUUCAAAGGAAAAUUGGUGGAUUUCAAGGAAUCAAGCAAUCAAAUGUAAAAUUUCUUGAUUUUGACUUGUGAUCUACAUUUCCCAUGCAUUUCUCCUUAUUUUCCAUGGUUAGAUUUCAUGUUUUCAUGGUGAAUUCAUGGCUGGUCAAAAUGGGUAUGGAGAGAGAAAGAUGUUGGAUUGAUUUGAUUUUAAGUUAUGUUAGUGUUUUUAGUUAGUUUAGCAUAUUUAGAAACAAAACAACAAAAAAAGAAUUCAUUUUCCCCAUCACCAUCAAUGGCUGAAUUUUCUAGGGAGGAUAUUGUGGUUGAAAUUGAUGAUAUUUCAUGAUAUUUUGGUGAUAUUUGAUGUUUGGUGAGACUAGAAAUUAAA
rnacentral:lncRNA from 1 species